rnacentral:rRNA from 1 species
GACGAACGCUGGCGGCGUGCUUAACACAUGCAAGUCGAGCGGUAAGGCCCUUUCGGGGGUACACGAGCGGCGAACGGGUGAGUAACACGUGGGUGACCUGCCCUCAGCUCUGGGAUAAGCCUGGGAAACCGGGUCUAAUACUGGAUAUGACUCCAUGACGCAUGUUGUGGGGUGGAAAGCCUUGUGCGGCUGAGGAUGGGCCCGCGGCCUAUCAGCUUGUUGGUGGGGUGAUGGCCUACCAAGGCGACGACGGGUAGCCGGCCCGAGAGGGCGACCGGCCACACUGGGACUGAGACACGGCCCAGACUCCUACGGGAGGCAGCAGUGGGGAAUCUUGCGCAAUGGGCGAAAGCCUGACGCAGCGACGCCGCGUGAGGGAUGACGGCCUGG